CUUGACCACCUUGCUUUGCCGUGGGUGGAUCGUUGUUUGUGUUAUUUGUGCUUUUUAAGAAUAUUUUUUUUAAUUCGGAUACUUUUAUAAUAGCUUUAAUAGUAUUAUUAACAUAGUGAAUAAAAUGGUGUCCUGUUUUUAACGCAGUUGGAGUAGCAGAAACAAAUGUAGAUAAAAAAAUCUGCAGGAAUAACGUUUCAAUUAUGACAGAAGCUCCAAACAAAUGACUGUGAAUGAAAAGCCCUAUUAAAAGCUUUCCAGAAGAUCCUGCGAAGAAGACAUGAAGUAUAGAUCAGAUUUGUUAAUAGAGGAGUAUGUUCAAAACACUUUUUAGAAAAAGAUAUUGACAGAACUUCACUUUCAUCUGUUCGUUUAAGAGACUGUGCUGUUCCAAUAGCUUAUGUCACACAGAAUCAGCUGAGAGAAGUGGUCUACAAAAAACCAGAAAGGAAACGGAAUAUGUGGCUACGAAAAGCAAAAGAAAGGUUUACAAAGCAAAUGUGACACAUUUUUUUAUAAUAUUUAGGAAUGUCAGUAAAUUACAUUAAAAAAUGUAUGUAAAGAUUUUUUGCAAUAAAAAUGUUUAUAUUUA